rnacentral:rRNA from 1 species
AUUGAACGCUGGCGGAAUGCUUUACACAUGCAAGUCGAACGGCAGCACGGACUUCGGUCUGGUGGCGAGUGGCGAACGGGUGAGUAAUGUAUCGGAACGUGCCCAGUCGUGGGGGAUAACGUAGUGAAAAUUACGCUAAUACCGCAUACGAUCUAUGGAUGAAAGCGGGGGAUCGCAAGACCUCGCGCGAUUGGAGCGGCCGAUAUCAGAUUAGGUAGUUGGUGGGGUAAAGGCCCACCAAGCCAACGAUCUGUAGCUGGUCUGAGAGGACGACCAGCCACACUGGAACUGCGACACCGUCCAGACUCCUACGGGAGGCAGCAGUGGGGAAUUUUGGACAAGGGGCGAAAGCCUGAUCCAGCCAUUCCGCGUGCAGGAUGAAGGCCCUCGGGUUGUAAACUGCUUUUGUACAGAACGAAAAGGUUUCUACUAAUACUAGGAGCUCAUGACGGUACUGUAAGAAUAAGCACCGGCUAACUACGUGCCAGCCGCCGCGGUAA